GUUGGCUCAUGCGAAUUCCCAGCAUUUUCAAAACAAACUAAACAGCAAAUAUAUUAUGAAAACUAACGCGGUUACAUUUCCGUAGCUAUAGCAAUGGAGUUGAGUUGAAUUUUCCUACGACAAUUACAUAUCGACGUUUCGUCAAAAGGGGAGAAAUUCGUUUAUCGAUUUUGGUCAAGUCCCGACGAAGGGAGAAAAACGGUUUGAUCUCUCAAGUUUUGGAGAAUAACUUUUUAAAAAAACUGGGCUCAUUGUUUCCCCCGUACAUUCUGACCGGCACCCGUUCUAAUUCCUUUCUCAUAAUCUCGUUUUCAACACGAAUAUUUGAUCGUUUAAAGUUUAAAUUGAAACUCCUCGAAUUCUAUGGUAUGUCUUUUUUUAUCCAUUCCUGUGAACACUGGGGGUAAAUUUAGGACAUUUAUAUAGGC